GCUGAUUAAAAAUAAAUCAGAAAUGACAAUAUUACUAAGAAGAAACUCUUAACUAAGAAAUCCUAAGAAGCGUCGACGUGGCCAAAAAUGGAUACUUUUUUUUUUCUUCUCUCUCGCGACGGAGGUUGCGAAAUUGAUUGAGAUUUUUCUCAAUGAUCUGUUAGGUUGAUUCGAUUUUUGGUGACCUUCGUCUGUUCUUGACCGAAAUAAAAAAAAAGGUAACAUAUUUUGAUCGGAAUCAGUAGCGGAAGAAGAGUGAAUUGCUCAUCCUUGUCUUGAGUUGCCAUGAGACUGAUUUGGAUGUUAAUCACAUUUGAAAUUGAUGAAGGGUUGGAUGUUGAUGCACUUGGUUGUCUCAAACUCAUCAAUAUGGGUUGUGUUGUGUUGUGUUGUGUUGUGUUGGGGUUGCUGCUCUAUUUCAUAUCUCUUAUAGGCUCUUUGAAAGAGAAGGUUAUGCCACACUGGGUUAUAUUUAAGUUCUAAUUCUUCAGUCUUCAUAUGAGUUGCUCUCAAAAGUUAAAUGCAUGUAUGUGGAGAUCAAACGAAUACAUCUUCUGUUGACUACUACAGAGUCUUCUAUGAGGAUCCCCUCUAAGUUAGAAGCAAGAAGACAGGUGUCUUUCUUCUCAAAUUCAUUGUUCAUGGACAUGCCUAUGGCACCUAAAGUUUGCAACAUGCUAUCAUUUUCUGUUUUGACUCGAUAUUACACUGAAGAGGUCCUCUUCUCCUUGCGUGACCUGGAAACGCCAAAUGAAGAUGGGGUUUCAAUCAUCUUUUACCUACAGAAGAUUUUUCCAAGUGAUUUUUGUUUAUAUGCUGUUAAGUGUAGCCUAGAUUCUUGGAAACGCCAAACGCCAAAUGAUUUUUGAUUAGUGAAAUAUACAAUUUGUGGUAAUUGUUGCUCUCGUCCUUUGAGGUCACUCUAUCCGUUUUACAUUGUGUGGUACUCCAUAUUUAGACACA